rnacentral:rRNA from 1 species
AGUGAAUAGAUACCCCGGUAGUCCCAGCUGUAAACGAUGCGCGUUAGGUGUAUCGGUGACCACGAGUCACCGAGGUGCCGAAAGGGAAACCGUGAAACGUGCCGCCUGGGAAGUACGGUCGCAAGGCUGAAACUUAAAGGAAUUGGCGGGGGAGCACCACAACAGGUGGAGCCUGCGGUUUAAAUCGGACUCAACGCCGGGAAGCUCACCGGAUAAGACAGCUGAAUGAUAGCCGGGUUGAAGACUCUGCUUGACUAGCUGAGAGGAGGUGCAUGGCCGUCGUCAGUUCGUACUGUGAAGCAUCCUGUUAAGUCAGGCAACGAGCGAGACCCACGCCAACAGUUGCCAGCAUGUCCUCCGGGAUGGUGGGGACACUGUUGGGACCGCUUCUGCUAAAGAGGAGGAAGGAAUGGGCAACGGUAGGUCAGCAUGCCCCGAAUUAUCCGGGCUACACGCGGGCUACAAUGGUCAGGACAAUGGGUAUCAACACCGAAAGGUGAAGGCAAUCUCCUAAACCUGUCCUUAGUUCGGAUUGUGGGCU